rnacentral:rRNA from 1 species
GCUAGUAAUCGCAGAUCAGCAUGCUGCGGUGAAUACGUUCCCGGGCCUUGUACACACCGCCCGUCACACCAUGGGAGUCAGUAACGCCCGAAGCCGGUGACCCAACCUAAUCAGGAGGGAGCCGUCGAAGGCGGGACGGAUGGCUGGGGUGAAGUCGUAACAAGGUACC